UUUUGUUAAAAUGUGACAGUAGAUAAAACUCGGCAUAUCAUUGUGCCCCAGAAACCAAAGUACAGUCGAGUAAAUUACUCCUGACGAAAGAGCUUCCAAGAAAGCAAAAAUCGGUUGUCCACGGUGUCUUGAACUCCAAAUUCUUAUUUAUUAGAGGAGAAUGAAAAUUGCCCAAAUUUAUGCUGAUUUAUUGAUACAUUUUGAUGCCGAAUUUAAUAAAACGUCCAAAAUUGUCAAACAAAAAAGUUUACUUCGCUAUGGUUUGCAGAAUUUGGAUUUAUUGUUGCAAAAAUUAGAACUUCGUUGUACUGUGUUAAAUUGAGAAUGGAUUAUUAUUUUCCAACCGUAUUAUUACCAUCUAUCGCGUUAUACAAGUGGAGGUUAUUACAAAUCAUAGAAAAGGAAAGAAAAUUAACUGGUACUAAUAAAAUAGACGAUGUUACCAAAGAUAUUAUCCGACGAAUAUAAAAUAAACUGUGUAAGUUUCUAAUUGGAGUAACAAUAUAGUUAUCAUGGAAUCUUGUAUCGUCGAACUUUAACAAGAAUAUUUACGAAGUUUUAAGACAUACUGACACUCAAACAGAAAUAUAGUAUCUAUAUUUGAUAUAGACGACGUAGUUGAAUAUGGCAGGGUGUCUUUUCAAUCGUUACUCUGUUAUUAAUCAAUUGGAAUUCGAUCCAUGUUUUAAUGAAAAAAUGAGUAUUUAUUAUAGUCCUCUUCUUUCUUUGCUGAAAUUUAUUUCCAACACUUGAUAGUAUCUUAUCAUCAUCACUGAAUCUCAUAAAAUAAAAAUCUUGUUCUCUACUACGUGCCUGAAUUAAAUAUUCAUUCUACUAUAAAACUGAGAUACCAGCACAAUAAGAAAAUUCAUGAAAAGCAAAAAGAAAAUUGUCAAGUACGUGAUAACGUCCUUCAUAGUGACCAGAUAAACUAGGUCGCAACGAAUGUUAACGAUAAAAUGCGAAGUUAUAUCAGGAUGUUGCCAAAUUUAUUUUAAUCGAAUUGUUACAUUAUAAUAGUUCAGUUUUUUGAAAAGUUUUUCGCCGUUUGCCAAAACUUCUACUAUGUUAUUUUUCAUGGAAGUUACCAAAUCGGAGAGAAUCUGUUAUGAAUGAGGAAUAUUGACUGAAAAUAUAUAAAUAAUUUGAAAGUGUGUUUAAAGAUAACGAAUUAAAUAUAAGAAUUAUUAUUUUGAAGAAUGUAAAUAAACAGAGCAGUCUUUAUAGUUUCCCCUAAUCGAAAAGUUUCUCCUCAUAUGUUUUCUAGUAAUAAUAUUUGAUUCAAUUCCAGCGACGCAUCAGUAUGUGUGAACUAGAUUUAAAGAGUAAUCUAUGUAAAUAUGGAAGUCUAUAUUCCUUACUUAUUGAAUGAUUUUGCAAAUAACAACUCAUAAUUUAUUUGAAACUGUAAUAGGUUAUCGCAAAUGGUGUACAAAUCCUAGUACCUGAAAUCCUACAAACUUUGUUGUCUUCAGUAAUAUCUACAAGCAGACCGUAGAUGCUACCAAGAAAAGAUAUAAUGAGAGAGUGAUGAACAGACUCAUCAAUUGUCCAAAUUGAUGAGGAUCUGUAAAAUAAGACUUGUACUGAAUCAAAUUUCACCAUUUACUAGAGAACAUGGACAAAAGAGAAAGGGGACUUGUUAAGUCUCAUUAAGUUACUUUAAACUUAACUUUUGAAUCGUAGGGCAAAGUACCAAAGUACAACCCAGCCUACCUGGAGAUGAUUCAUCUAUACUAGAAAUAGAAUGCCGACACCGACAAAACAUGUCAGAGAUUUGGACAUCAAUAAAGCUACUGGCUUUAAGAGAACACCCCUAAUCGUAUUAAAAAGAUGCGGAACUAAACUAUUAAGUCCGCUAUAUACAUCAGUUUUCUAUCAAAUAGAAGAGGUAUUUUUUUUGCUCGAGUUCAAUCCAUAUCAAAAAAAAAGAAACAAGACAGUCCCCAACAACUACCGUUCGAUUGUUUUAGUCCAAAUGAUUGCCAAGAUUAUGGAGAAAGUUGUUCACCAGCAAAUUUUGAGUUAUUUAGAGUCCGCUAACGUUGAACGUUAUCACCGACCAUCAAUACGGCUUUUGUAAACAAAUAUCAAUCGGGGACCUUUGACCUGCAUUACUAACGUAUGAACUAAAGCUAUAGACAGAUAUAGGAAAUCCUAGGUAAUUGCUCUGAUCUGAUGACUAAAUUGAGAUCAUAGGUUUGUUGUUCUCAUUCAUCGAUUAAAUCAAUAGUUUUCUCAAAGAUUCAUCCCUCUGAGGGAUCAAAAAAAGAUUCUAGUAAACGGUGGUGUUGCCCAGGGUAGUAUAGUGUCACCUAUAAUAUCCUCUUUUUCUUUCACAUCAACGAUCUACUGGGCCAAACUGCAAACCCGACCUGUAGUUUCGACGAUAAUAGCACACUGGUAUCGUCGUUCAAAUAAUCCCUCCCAAUCAACAUCCAAUCCCUUAGACAACAACCACUAUCAUCAACAUUGAUCUUGGAAAUACAAUUUCGAAAACCUAUAUAUUCUGUAACAGCUUCUCUACCAGUCCCAGAUUCGUCCAUCCUUGGAGUAUUACUCGCACAACUUCGGCAAUUAUACCCUGAGGAUGCUCGACUCACUAAUUUACUUAAAGUGAUCUAGAGUUGACCAGAAAAAAAGGUCGCUGGCAUCAUACCUGACCUGACCUACCUAGAGCAGUAGUUGCCAGAUCUACUCGACAAGCAGCUACCAAGGCACGUCUUUUCCGAACGCUAUAAAGUUUCAAUACUAUAGGAAUGUCUACAAUGCAGGCACCACUUUCCUAUUACAGUAUAAUAGAGUUAGCCAAAAGAGAGAAACUAGAGAGAGACCGCUUGAUUCUAAGCUUGUACAGGAGUUACUCAUUGAAUUGGAUAUAAAGGUAUGAUUAUGGGAAAAACGUAAGCUACAUUUUCACUAGGUGGCCAUUAUAUAUUAGAAUCCUUUAAUGAUUUAUAUGUACUUAAAUACCGAUUGUCUUUAAGUUUCUCCGAUUGCAGUAGUUUAUAAUUUAGUGUUUUUUUGUUAUUGAUGACUCUGUGAAGUAUCACUAACGUGGGGAAAUAGCAUGUGAAAAUCUCAAUUCUGUAUUGACUACUAACACAAUUUGAAGGUCUUCUGAAUUAAAACGAUUGUACUUUAGUUCUAAUUCUUGUUGUCUUUGUAUCUUGUGUCUGUGUCUUAGGUAUCACUUCUUCUUUUGUUCCCUUCAUGACCAGAAACUCUUAGAAAGGAAUUUAACUUUGACAAAAAGAAAAGAUAAGUAACAUCUCUUGGAAGUAGAUUAUAUAAAAAGGAGACAGAAGAUAAUGACUAUUGACUUCACGGGUGAACAACUCUUGUUUCCUGUUUUUCUCAUGAGUUGAUAUUUUUGAAUUAUUGUGAACUGUUUUUAAUUACAUUAAUGACAUGACAUGGACAUAUAGUAAUAUCGUAAAAAAUGUUAUACUUCUACUGACAAUAAAAUAAAUUGAAAGAUAUCAACAAAAACUAAACUGAACGUGAAAUUUUCCUUAAGAUAAUGUGAGUUGGCAACAAGGCAUCAUUAGAUAGUGGUCGCAAAUACUUCAACGUCACAAGAAUACAUUCUUGCGUUUCCCAGUCACGUAUUCGCUGCUUUCUUUCAGAGAAAAUCGAUAAAAAUAGUCAAAGUUAUAUUGCAGUGUAUUUUUUGAAUUAUGUACAACAAAGAAAUUAUCAAUACCAGAAUUAAGAAAACAUGCAAAGAUUUUUCAUUCCUAACAAUAUUCCUACAAAAAAAGGAAUUGCUUCGAAAGUUUUAAAUUGGAAAACCGGUAUACCUUCUUGUGUAUUUAAUCCUAUAGAAAUGGUUAGUGCAUUAGAAGUACAAAUCAGCAAAUAUAAUCGUUUACCUUAGUUUAGGUUCAGUUUUACUUUUGGGACUAAUACGUUGAUUUAUUCUUAUACUAGAGAUAAACCAACUUCUCAGCUGCUUCUUAAUGAAGAACUAAUGUUAUGUGUUUCAAGCUUAGAUCCUGUGUUAUGCCGAUGAGGAUCUUCAAAGAUUAUUGAAUAGCUUUAAUAUCAAGGUAAAACAGUAUAAUAUGACUACCUCGACUGAAAAAACCAUAUGCAUGACAACACCAAAAGAAGAAAGUCAAAUAAUACAACAGAGAAUGGAAUACAAGUACCUUGAAAUUGACAUUACCAGUUAUAGAAACGUAAGACGAGAUAAGAGGACAAGUAGAAAGAGAAAAUAAGGUCACGGGAUGUCUG